rnacentral:rRNA from 1 species
UUGAACGCUGGCGGCAGGCCUAACACAUGCAAGUCGAACGGUAACAGGAAGCAGCUUGCUGCUUCGCUGACGAGUGGCGGACGGGUGAGUAAUGUCUGGGAAACUGCCUGAUGGAGGGGGAUAACUACUGGAAACGGUAGCUAAUACCGCAUAAUGUCGCAAGACCAAAGAGGGGGACCUUCGGGCCUCUUGCCAUCGGAUGUGCCCAGAUGGGAUUAGCUUGUUGGUGGGGUAACGGCUCACCAAGGCGACGAUCCCUAGCUGGUCUGAGAGGAUGACCAGCCACACUGGAACUGAGACACGGUCCAGACUCCUACGGGAGGCAGCAGUGGGGAAUAUUGCACAAUGGGCGCAAGCCUGAUGCAGCCAUGCCGCGUGUAUGAAGAAGGCCUUCGGGUUGUAAAGUACUUUCAGCGGGGAGGAAGGGAGUAAAGUUAAUACCUUUGCUCAUUGACGUUACCCGCAGAAGAAGCACCGGCUAACUCCGUGCCAGCAGCCGCGGUAAUACGGAGGGUGCAAGCGUUAAUCGGAAUUACUGGGCGUAAAGCGCACGCAGGCGGUUUGUUAAGUCAGAUGUGAAAUCCCCGGGCUCAACCUGGGAACUGCAUCUGAUACUGGCAAGCUUGAGUCUCGUAGAGGGGGGUAGAAUUCCAGGUGUAGCGGUGAAAUGCGUAGAGAUCUGGAGGAAUACCGGUGGCGAAGGCGGCCCCCUGGACGAAGACUGACGCUCAGGUGCGAAAGCGUGGGGAGCAAACAGGAUUAGAUACCCUGGUAGUCCACGCCGUAAACGAUGUCGACUUGGAGGUUGUGCCCUUGAGGCGUGGCUUCCGGAGCUAACGCGUUAAGUCGACCGCCUGGGGAGUACGGCCGCAAGGUUAAAACUCAAAUGAAUUGACGGUGGCCCGCACAAGCGGUGGAGCAUGUGGUUUAAUUCGAUGCAACGCGAAGAACCUUACCUGGUCUUGACAUCCACGGAAGUUUUCAGAGAUGAGAAUGUGCCUUCGGGAACCGUGAGACAGGUGCUGCAUGGCUGUCGUCAGCUCGUGUUGUGAAAUGUUGGGUUAAGUCCCGCAACGAGCGCAACCCUUAUCCUUUGUUGCCAGCGGUCCGGCCGGGAACUCAAAGGAGACUGCCAGUGAUAAACUGGAGGAAGGUGGGGAUGACGUCAAGUCAUCAUGGCCCUUACGACCAGGGCUACACACGUGCUACAAUGGCGCAUACAAAGAGAAGCGACCUCGCGAGAGCAAGCGGACCUCAUAAAGUGCGUCGUAGUCCGGAUUGGAGUCUGCAACUCGACUCCAUGAAGUCGGAAUCGCUAGUAAUCGUGGAUCAGAAUGCCACGGUGAAUACGUUCCCGGGCCUUGUACACACCGCCCGUCACACCAUGGGAGUGGGUUGCAAAAGAAGUAGGUAGCUUAACCUUCGGGAGGGCGCUUACCACUUUGUGAUUCAUGACUGGGGUG